AGGCAGCAGUGGGGAAUAUUGGGCAAUGGGGGAAACCCUGACCCAGCAACGCCGCGUGAAGGAUGAAGGCUUUCGGGUUGUAAACUUCUUUGAUCGGGGACGAAAUUGACGGUACCCGAAGAACAAGCCACGGCUAACUACGUGCCAGCAGCCGCGGUAAUACGUAGGUGGCAAGCGUUAUCCGGAAUUACUGGGCGUAAAGGGCGUGUAGGCGGGAAGACAAGUCAGGAGUGAAAUCCCAGGGCUCAACCCUGGAGCUGCUUCUGAAACUGUUUUUCUUGAGUAUCGGAGAGGAAAGUGGAAUUCCCAGUGUAGCGGUGAAAUGCGUAGAGAUUGGGAGGAACACCAGUGGCGAAGGCGGCUUUCUGGACGAUUACUGACGCUGAGGCGCGAAAGCGUGGGGAGCAAACAGGAUUAGAUACCCUGGUAG
rnacentral:rRNA from 1 species